UAAACGACCCGUCUUGUAACACGGACCAAGGAGUCUAACAGAUGUGCAAGCUAUUGGGUGUGUAUACCUUCUAGCGCAAUGAAAGUGAUUGCUGGGAUGUUUGCACCAGCAGGCGACUGAUUAGUGGUCAGAGGUUUGAGUGUGAGUAUGUUUAUUAGGACCCGAAAGAUGGUGAACUAUGCCUGAACAGAAUGAAUUCAGAGGAAACUCUGAUGGAAGUUCGUAUCGAUACUGACGUGCAAAUCGUUCGUCAUACUUGGGUAUAGGGGCGAAAGACUAAUCGAACCAUCUAGUAGCUGGUUCCCUCCGAA
rnacentral:rRNA from 1 species